rnacentral:lncRNA from 1 species
UUUAAGAUAAACAAUCACCAACUAAUAUUUAUUUUUAUAUAUUAUAAUUUUUAAUUAAUAAAUCUUACAAUUAGUUUACUAACAAUUUAUAUUAACAAAGAAAUAAUCAACAGCCAGUAUUUUACUUAGACAGUCUACUUAUCCCCAGAUACUUAUCGACAAUCCGAGGGUACCUACGUACUCAAAAUAAUACGUACAAAAUAAAUUCAACUUCUACUUCUCCGAUCAGGUCCCAAUCAUCCCGAAACAUCAGACAGUUUCUAAUCGUUGAUUUUCCAAUGGAGUCCGAUCGAAGCAAAAUCGUGUUGACAGAAAGUUUAUGGAGAGUAGAGUUCAUCCAUGUAUUCUAAUCAGCCAUAACUUAUCGGAAGUGGCCGAAAAAUGAGAAAAAACCGAAUUAGAUGAUGCCACUGCCAAUAAAAGAAAGCCCACACGACGACCGUUCAUUUAAGACUGAAAUCAAGGCUCAUCAUCGCCGAAAGGAGGAGAAUCGAAGGUUCAAAUUUUCAUUCUCAAAAAAUUUCUCUCUUCAUUUAGUCUUUCCUCGCCGCGUCUCACCACCCCAAACCACCACUAAAGGAUUGGCCUCUUCAUCCUCUUUCUAUAGACACCAACCACGCCCUCUAUUUCCUCCUAAAAUGUAUUCUACCAUUUUUUAUCAUAUAAAGGAAUUAAAAGAAAUAUAGAAAAGAGCUGUAUCUUCUUCCCGUGGAAGAAGAAGAAGAUUCUCCUUUUCUUUCUUCUUCUUCGUCCCGUAUCCUUGUUUAGUCCUUCUAUUUAUUUUAUUAUUAUUUUUGGCCCUGGUUAAUUUCUGUUAGGCCUCUUAAGUUUGUUAAUCCUUUUUAGUUUUACCCCUGAUUUGUAUAUUUCGACUAGAUUAUAAAAUAUUAAAAAUAUAAAA